rnacentral:rRNA from 1 species
AGUGAACGCUGGCGGUAGGCCUAACACAUGCAAGUCGAACGGCAGCACAGGAGAGCUUGCUCCCUGGGUGGCGAGUGGCGGACGGGUGAGGAAUACAUCGGAAUCUACUCUGUCGUGGGGGAUAACGUAGGGAAACUUACGCUAAUACCGCAUACGACCUACGGGUGAAAGCAGGGGCUCUUCGGACCUUGCGCGAUUGAAUGAGCCGAUGUCGGAUUAGCUAGUUGGCGGGGUAAAGGCCAACCAAGGCGACGAUCCGUUGCUGUUCUGAGAGGAUGAUCGGCCACACUGGAACUGAGACACAGUCCAGACUCCUACGGGAGGCAGCAGUGGGGAAUAUUGGACAAUGGGCGCAAGCCUGAUCCAGCCAUACCGCGUGGGUGAAGAAGGCCUUCGGGUUGUAAAGCCCUUUUGUUGGGAAAGAAAUCCAGCUGGCUAAUACCCGGUUGGGAUGACGGUACCCAAAGAAUAAGCACCGGCUAACUUCGUGCCAGCAGCCGCCGUAA